GUGAAUGGUCAUACUAUGCUGAAAACACCGGUUUUCGUCUGAUCCCCGAAGUUAAGCAGCAUCAGGUCUGGUUAGUACUUGGAUGGGUGACCGCCUGGGAAUCCCAGAUGCCGUUAACUUUU
rnacentral:rRNA from 1 species